GUCAAAAUGGACAAUUUCUGUGCAGUAGUUAGUUUAAUUUUACAGCACGUUGAAGAUGAUAAAAAAUGUAUUGUUUAUAUUUCAUUAACUUUUUACUCACAUAAAUUCACUGUGCAUCAUUUGCCUUGCAGAGAGAAAAAUAUGAUGUCAAGAAAUAAAUGCAGAGAAAACAGAGAGAAAAUGAAAGGAUGAUCGACACAAAAGUUGAUGCGGACAGUGUUCGAUUUACCAAGAGAUAUCGCAUAAAGUAAGCCGAUAAAUUGGUAAAGUGCAGAAGAGAUGUUUGGAAAAUCAGGCUGCAAGAUUUCUUGCUGCAGCAUGUAAUUAUAAUAUAAUUUUUUUGUGCCAACACUUUUUAAAA